rnacentral:rRNA from 1 species
UAGGGAAUCUUCGGCAAUGGGGGGAACCCUGACCGAGCAACGCCGCGUGAGUGAAGAAGGUUUUCGGAUCGUAAAGCUCUGUUGUUAAGGAAGAACGAGUGUGAGAAUGGAAAGUUCAUGCUGUGACGGUACUUAACCAGAAAGGGACGGCUAACUACGUGCCAGCAGCCGCGGUAAUACGUAGGUCCCGAGCGUUGUCCGGAUUUAUUUGGCGUAAAGCGAGCGCAGGCGGUUAGAAAAGUCUGAAGUUAAAGGCAGUGGCUCAACCAUUGUAGGCUUUGGAAACUGUUUAACUUGAGUGCAGAAGGGGAGAGUGGAAUUCCAUGUGUAGCGGUGAAAUGCGUAGAUAUAUGGAGGAACACCGGUGGCGAAAGCGGCUCUCUGGUCUGUAACUGACGCUGAGGCUCGAAAGCGUGGGGAGCGAACAGG